rnacentral:lncRNA from 1 species
CUGUCUGACGUGCCCGGCACCACUGCGGCAGGCGGCCGGCAACGCCUGCACGGCCAGGGGCUGGUGGGGCCCUGCUGCAGGCGGCCCCGGGGGGUUUUGGGCCCCUCAGGAGGGUGAGUGGGGGGCUGCACUCGUGGGAUGGGGGACUGAGAGCAUCAGGGAAGUCGCCUGCCAAUUGGCAAGGCUGGGGCAUGUGGCAGAGCCAUGGUUCUGACAGGGACCCGGUUGUGCCAUGGGAUGAGCCCCCACUGAUCCCCCUUCCACUCGGGAAAGGGGAAACCCUGCAGCUCUCCUCACACCCCCUAUUUUGGGCAUCUUAUGGGGUGCACAGCAGAUGGAGAGAUGGACAGAGAGCUGGGGGCACCCCAACCACACCCAAAGGUGGCCAAAGGAACCAGGGUGCUGGCUGGGGGCUUUGGGUGAGUGACUCCCAAGCCCACUGCGCCCGCACCCCCUGUCCCCGCGCUCAUCCCACCACCAGGGGUUAAUUGCCAGCAGCUCGUCUGUAAUUAAAGCUCUCCGGUGACAGGAGCUGACGACUCAAUAUCAAACUGCUGCAAUUAAGGCCAUGAGGGCUGUGCAGGGAGCGAGGGGCAGGGACACCCUGGAGGGGACACCCUGGAGGGAACACCCUGGAGGAGCCACCCUGGCACUCCUGCAGGGUCGGGGGGCACGGGCAGGGGCACGGCGGGGGCUGCACAGCCGGGGCGCAGCGAUCUUGCAAAUAUUGUAUUGCUCAGUCACUACCAAGGGUUAAAACCAAACCGAGGGCACGGAGGAAGGCGUCUUCCCAGAAGACAGAUCAGCGUGUCCUCGCCGCAGGAGGACACGGCAGAGCGGCCGAUGCCGCCAUCGGAGCUGCUGCCCCGCUCCGGGCUCGGGGGUCCCUGGGCCCCAGGGGAGGGGGUCCGUGGGGAAAGGCACGACAUGAGGUGGUGGCCGUGGGGCAGAGCAGGCGUUCGCUGAGGGGACCCCAGCGCCGAGGUCCAGCAGGCGGGUCAUGGCCUGGGGCUGCCCCACGGGCUCGGGGGUUUGGCUGGGAGGAAGAGUCUGGAAGCGGCCUUGGGGCAGAGGAGCCCAUCCCCCCGGCAGGGGCAGCGCCGGGGUCAGAUCCAGAGCAGGGCCAGGAGCACGAGAGUCAGGCAAGGGCUGCAGGGCUGCCAUGGGACCGCGGUGCCCCGGGCAGGAGCCACAUCUGCCGGGGCACAAGUAGGGGUCAGGACGAGCCGGUUCCUGACCUCCCAACCCCGCCCCCGUACUCACCUUCGGGGCCCCCGCGCCCUCGGGGCUGCGAAUUCGGCACCUCUGUCACCGGCUCUGGCGCUGAAAAAAACCCCGCGGUGGUCAGGGAGGGGCUCCCCUGGGUUACGUGGAGGCUCCGGUGUCCCCCAGUGGGGGCCGGUGGAGCCCUCGAGUUUUGGGGCGCAGCCCCCCCGGCCGGACUCACUGGUGCCUCGGCAGCAGACGGUGACGCGCAGCUUCAGGCAUCGCCCGGCGCUCUCGGGGCUGGGCACGGCUGGGCAGGGGGGGUCAGCGGGCACCGGCUCCGGUGCGGCCCCCCCGGGACCCCCCGACGGCGGCUCCGCGCGGGCCGGGGGCGCCCCCUCCCGGCGGAACGAGGGGAGCGCGCCCCCACCCCGGAGCGCGCAGAGUCCCCCCCGGACCCCGAACCGGAGAUACCCGGACCCCUCGUGCCCCCACCCCGCAGCGCGCAGAGCCCCCCCACCCUGCACCCCGGAACGGUGACACCCCGAACCGGGAACACCCCGAUGCGGGGCCAUCCCGAACCAGGGACACCCAGAGCCCACCCUGCACCCCGAACAGGGGACACCCCAAACCAGGGACACCUUGAAACAGGGACACCCCGAACCAGGCACAA